rnacentral:rRNA from 1 species
UACGUAGGGGGCAAGCGUUGUCCGGAUUUAUUGGGCGUAAAGAGCGUGUAGGCGGCCAGGGAGGUCCGUUGUGAAAACUCGAGGCUCAACCUCGAGACGCCGGUGGAAACCAUCAGACUAGAGUCCGGAAGAGGAGAGUGGAAUUCCUGGUGUAGCGGUGAAAUGCGCAGAUAUCAGGAAGAACACCCGUGGCUAAGGCGGCUCUCUAGUACGGUACUGACGCUGAGACGCGAAAGCGUGGGGAGCGAACAGG